rnacentral:lncRNA from 1 species
CAUUACUUUAAUGUUUCCAUCCAAAUAUCUCUUUAGUCAUAAUAAAGAAAUAUCUGUUUAUCUCUUCAUUCAUAAUGAAGAAACAUCCAAUGAUGGAUUAGAUUCAUAAUCCAAUACAUUUACGCUUCCAUUACGUUACUCUAAUUCUUCCUCGAUCUUUGAGGAAUUUAUCCUUUAGUAUUUCUUAAAUACUUAAGGACUCACUUGACAGUUGCCAUGGUUCUGAUCCUGGGCUUGCACUGAUAUCGUCUUGUACCGUUUUAGGUACAACUCAUAUCAAUGUUUUUCAUACAAUAUGAAAUACAUAAAUCACCUUUCUGCGUAUGCAUAAAGGAUUCUAUUUACGCAUUAUUUCUUUGGGAGUCAAAGAGUACGUUCUUUUUUUCUGAGAAGAGCAACUUCUUAGUCUCACUAGAGUUGUCCUUUUGAUUGAAGUUCAUCAUCAUAUGAGAAACUUCCUAUCAUCUUUUGUCUAUAUUUAGGGCUUGAUAUAAUCCAAUUAUCCUAAAAUCUAUCAAUAUAGAUUUCCAUCCCAUGUAUAUAGACUAUGUCUCCCAUAUACAUUCUAUCUUCAUAUAAUGUUUUACAGUCAUAACUUUAACGAAGAAGUAUUCUUUUCAUUUCCAAAAUUAAUAUAUCAUAUAUAUAUAUAUUCAAAUUUAGGAAUUUGAUUAACUCCCACUAAUCUUUUGUAAACCUAGUAAACAAAAGAUUCAUUCACAUCUUUAUGAGAAAUCAAACGAUUUGAUCUUUCUUUCAUAAGAUGCUUAUAGCUCCCACUAGCUUGCUAAGAUCCAUGAUGGAUGGAUCUCUACAACUUACAUGUCUUGUGAUUCAUAGUUUUAGACAUAUAUUAUCAAGACUAUCUUAAUAAUGGUUUCGGAAACCCAUAUUAUGUCCAAACAUUUAAUCACCAUUUAGUUGUAGCUAGCAAUCUUCGAAUUAAUUGAAACCAUGACUACGUUAAAGAUGGUUUCUUCCAAGUCAACCAAUCUCUUUAAUUAUAGUUACCUUAAGCUACCAAUUAACUAUGGGGGUUUCAUUAUUUCGCGUCAAAUGGUACUUUACCAUUUCCUUGAGUAUAUAUCGUAUAUACACUCAAUGUAGUCAUAAGGAUUUUCAUUCUUAUUUCUUUCGAAUUAAGAGGUGUAUCUCUAUGACAUAGUCAUAGAGUUCAAACCAUUCAACUGAGACGGUUUAUAAAUCCUUCUCGACUACCUUGGAGCUUGUGGUAUAGGAACUAGGUUGUUAUAUUUGUUGAUCACUAUCUUGUUUCUCAAAAAAUCAUUCUUUGAGUUCUAUCCCUCAUUCAUUUGCUCUAUCUUAGGCAAAUCCUAGUGUAGGAUUACAAUGAACUACCCAACAAAACAACAUUUGUUAGUUGGUUUAUAUAAGUGAUAUCCAAAGGUUAAUUUAAGGAUAUCCACAAGAUAAUUCUCAAACAAAUAUUGCUUAUUAGCACACAACCCCAAAUCAUAACAUGAUUAAGAUUUGUCUUUCUUUCCAACUACAUCUUAUGGAGUCAUGAAAAUUUUGGAAGAUCUUCUAAUUGACAAUCAUAUUGUCUUAGAAGCGUAUAUUCUAUAUAUGGGUAAUUGAUAACAUCCAACGAACUAAAUCUUAUUCAAGUUCAUUCUUCUCCUAAUGGAGAAAUCCAUUAUCUUUUGAUGCUUCUUUCCUUGAUAUUUUUCAAGGAAACUGUUCUAAAGUGUUAUCUUUCCUUGGAUCAAAUCUAAGGAGGCAAAUACUUUAGACGUUUUACUCAUCAACUUACAUUUCUUGAAUUCUUUGAAACCUUUUGCAAAGUAUUCGGACUUGUGUUUAUUCAAAAUA